UCGCACAUCAGAUUCGGACCAAAAAGAUGAUUGAACGAUUAAUUCAAAUGGACUUGAAGGACGACAUUUGUUGUCAAGUUAAAGUAUAACCUAAUUUUUUUUUUGCGAACUAUUUCGUUCGGUGGUUGCAAUAGUUUUUUUAGACAAAAAAAAACACCCACGCAGAAACACGUCCCGCCAGUUUGCGUUUUGUCUUAAAGUAGGACAGGAAAAGUAAAGAUAUUUCUUCAGUUUUUACGCAAUCGUCGGAGCGUGAAUUUUGAGCGCAAGGAAUCGAGAGGAGAGAGUUUUCUGGUGCUUAUGCGUGAUCUUCGUGGAAAAUGGCCAAUUACUUAGUUUAUGCAGGUUUCGGACAUCCACGUGUGUUUCGUAAAACUGACCAAAAACAGCAGUGAGAGCGAUGGUGACAUCCUGUGGGCCGUGGCGCCACAUUCGACUUUUUUGGAAGUGCGGGCUGAACACAAACGUGCUGCAAUAAUACAGGUAGUAGUUUUGGUUCUUUUCAAGUCAUCUUGAGGAUAUGCCGAUAUAUAAAAACAGCGCGCGUCUCCGGGUUCAGUUCAUAAUCACACACACGUAAUACGCAUUCCAUCGCAAUGUGGUAGACUGUAGAGACUGAGUGUUCCAGGCUUUGCAGCUUUUCAUCAAGAACGGGAUUUUCCUCAAACUUGCCAUGCGGGUGGGACACACAAAAAAAACGAAUUCGAUUAAAAUCGCAAUUUUCAAUGUCCCCGCGGUCAUGUUUUUAUCUGAUGGCGACGAGCAAUUCUUGGACGCGGUUUUGGAAUUAUUCACACCAGAGCCAGGAACCGUUCUUUUUUUACUACUAGAUACUACUACUCAGCUAUUUUGUUCAAAAGAAAGCAAGAAACGAAAAAGAAUUUUAUUUCGUUUCUACCUGCGUCGUUGGAUGGCAAGAAACAUUUGACCUUGUCUGUUGUGACGGAAAAGCCAACGACGAUGACCAAAAAGCACAAAGAGAUAGAGAGCUCGUUUCAAUGCCACGUCCUUGUCCUCUGUUAUUUGUUUUGUUUGUUAAACUAACCUCUUCUUCUUUACAGAUUGGAUUCCACCAUUUUCGAACGAGUGCUGGCUGUUGCCUAUCUCAUAUUAUCUAUAAACUGAAUAGUCUGAUAAGUGAUACAUGUCGAAACACAUCCACAUUUAUCACCGUCUGCGUAGACCAACUGCAGCGACAUUUACCCAAAUGGUCAAACGGAGGCUACGUGGUGUUACACGAUGGCUCGCAUAUCCUGAUUAGAAAAAAGAAAAAUACGAUUGAUAUUCGUGACGCAAAUCGCAGCUCAUGACGAUCUGCCUUUUAUUUGAUUGCCUAUCAUUAUUGUCACUGUCUGUGUGCAAUAGGGCAAACAAACCUAAUGCUGCAUUGCUGUAGAACGCAGGUUAUCUUGUUAUAUUCACACUGCGACAGUUGUCGACCUAACGUUAUUUUUUUUUUACAAGGACAACCUAUCCGUAGUGGGAACUCGUGCACAUUGUUUUCUACCCAACUGAUAAUGUUCAACGUGUCGUAAUUGGCGUGUAGCCUACACAGUUCGGCUUUUCUUCUGUUUCGUUCUGCCGCUAUUGUUUCGUCCAAGUAAACCGGUUACGGGCAUAGGUGCGCCUGUGCAUCGAUGAAAUAGGGAGGGAAAAAAAACACAAUCACGUGACUGGCAGCCUCUUUUUUUUGUUAUCUUAACUAGGAUUUUGUCUCAAGGAGAGUCAGAUAUAGAAUAACUAUGGCGUUACACAUUGCAGAUUAUCUGCUACGUGCAACUUUAGGAACUGAAAGAGGGGGGGAAAAAUCCGUAAGCACGCAACGAUGUGUAAUAAAAGGAAAAAGAUUUUUUAAUAAAAUGUAUAGCGUCUUUUGCAACAUAAUACUAAGGAGGAAAACCAGUUUAAAGGGGAUUAACAUGCCGGCGCACCUGUGUGUCAAUAAUAAUAAAAAAGUGACACACGCAGACAAAGUGGACGUAUUAGUUUAAGUCUGAUCACGGUUGACUUGCGUGAAAAAUUCGUCUAGGCUGGUCGUGUUACCUGCGGAUGUGAAUCGCCUGUUUAUUAAAGCAACAAAAUUUUGAUGAUUCGGCAAUGUUACCAAAGAAAGAAAAACUCAAUAAAAAAAAGCAUGCCGAUUUAAAACUUUUUGCUCGAAAGAAAUGACUGCAUGACGUAAUUUCAAUUACAUUGUCGGUGUCUUUUUUUUUCUUUCCAAGUUGUCACAUAAAAUUAUCGCACGCUUUUUAUCUCGUUGGCAUCAAGGGUAGAACCACCACAAAUUUUUUAAGAUUUGUUAUCGUGAUAGGAAAAAAAAUGCGUUUUUCAAAAAGUUCCUUACGACUGUUUAGUUAUGCUUGAGUGUUCCAUGUUCGUCUGGCCAGGAUCAAAACAAGUGAAUCGCAUUCGCAGACACGAACGCCUCGUAAUAUAACAACCAAGAGAACAUACCAAAAACCUCUUGAAUAUUGAGAAAAGUUCCAAUACGUCAAAACAACAAGAAAUUAACUAAGGGGAAAGAAAAAGAAUAAUAUUAAAAAUAAAAAAGGUUAAUUUUUAUUUCGCCUGUAGAAUGUCCCUUUUUUCUUUGAAAGGAAAAAUAGAAAGAAUUUGGUCGAUGGAUAAGAAAUGUUUAAUCGGCAAUUCUUGGAAGGCAUUUUUUUCUUCCAUUGUUUACUUUUUGUACGUAAUGUAAUGUCGGCACGCUCUGUGUGAAACGCCAAAUAGGAACGAAAAAGGUCUGCUCUGUCUAGUCUAGCAAGCUCAUGGUAUAUACAGUGCUAUAUCUGACUACACCAGCCAUAAAAAAGCGAAAUACACACAGCAAAAAAUAAACGCCAAAAUCCCGUGUGUGUGUGAACUUACCUUGGCAACGAGAAAAUUUACUGUCUCGAAGGGGAUGAACAACGAUGAGGAAUAGCUCCGGGCAUCAAGUCUACCACUAACUCGGGAACGUGAUGA
rnacentral:lncRNA from 1 species